GGAAAGGCUUACGGUGGAUACCCAGGUACCCAGAGACGAGGAAGGCGGUAAGCGACGAAAUGCUUCGGAGCUGAAAAAAAGCGUGGAUCCGGAGAUUCCUGGAAUAGGUUAACCUUUGAACCGCUGCCAAUCCAUGGGCAGGCAAGAGACAACCUGGCGAACUGAAACAUCUUAGUAGCCAGAUGGAAAAGAAAGCAAAAGCGAUUCCGUAGAAGCGGCGAGCGAAAUGGGAGCAGCCUAAACCGUGAAACGGGCCAGGGAGAGCAAUAAAAAGCGUCGUGCUGGCGAAGGCGAAGCGGUGGAGUGCCGCACCCUAGAUGGCGAGAGUCCAGUAGCCGAAAAGCAUCACUAGCUUAUGCUCGACCUGAGAGCAUGGGGCACGGGAAUCCCAGGAAUCAAAGGCGACCCACUUGCAAGGCUAAAUACCCCGGACCGAUGAAGCGAAGUAGUACCGGGAGAGGGAAGGGGAAAAGAUCCCAUCGGGGAGUGAAAUAGAACAUGAAAACUGUAAGCCCUAAGCAGUGGAGGAGCCCGGGCUCUGACCGCGCCUAUUGAAGAAUGAGCCGGCACCCAUAGGCAGUGGCUUGGUGGGUGAACCCACCGAGCCAAAGGAAAGCGAGUCUUCAUAGGCAAUUGUCACUGCUUAUGGACCCGAACCCAAGGAUUCUAUCCAUGACCAGGAGAAGCUAGUGAAACCAUGGAUAUCCGAAACCGACUGAUGUUGAAAAAAAACUGCAGGAUGAGUUGUGGUUAGGUGAAAAUGCCACUCGAACCCAGAGCUAGCUGGUUCUCCCUGAAAUGCGCCGAGGCGGAGCCGACUGACAUCUAGGGCAAAGCACUGUUUCUGCGCGGGCCGCGAGAGCGGAACCAAAUCGAGGCAAACCUGAACACCAGAUAUGACCCCAAAAUAACUGGGGUCAAGGUCGGCCAGUGAGACGGUGGGGAUAAGUUUCAUCGUCGAGAGGAAACAGCCCGGGAUCACCAGCCAAGGCCCCAAAUGACCGCCCAGUGACAGAGGUAGGGUGGAGACAGCCAGGAGGUUUGUCGGAAGCAGCCACUUGAAAGAGUGCGUAAUAGCUCAUCGAUCGGAGCGCCUUGCGCCGAAGACAGAACGGGGCUGGGCGAUUCGCCGAAGCCGUGGGAUGUCAAAAUGCAUCGGUAGGGGAGCGUUCCGCCUUAGGGGAAGGCAACCGCGCGAGCGGCGGUGGACAAGGGAAGGAGAAUGUCGGUUUGAGGCAACGCAAACAUUGGUGAGAAUCCAAUGCCCUGAAACCAAGGGUUCCUCUCCGCAAGGUUCGUCCAAUGGAGGUGAGUCAGGGCCUAAGAUCAGGCUGGAAAGGCGUAGUCGAUGGACAACAGGUGAAUAUUCCUGUAAUUACCCCUUUGUUGGUCCUGAGGGACGGAGGAGGCCAGGUUAGCUGAAAGAUGGUUAUCGGUCUAAGAACGCAAGGUGUCCCUGUUUUUUCAGGGUAAGGGUAGAGAAAAUGCCCUGAGCCAAUGUUCGAGUGCCAGGGCGCCUACGGCGCUGAAGUAACCCAUGCUAUAAUGCUCCCAGGAAAAGCUCAUGAACGACCUUCAACAAAAGCAACCUGUACCCGAAACCGACACAGGUGGCAGGUAGAGAAUACCUAGGGCGAGACAACUUCUAAGCGAACUGGCAAAAUAGCCCCCAACUUCGAGAAGGGGCCUCCCUCACAAAGUUGGGUCGCAGUGACCAGGCCUGGGCGACUGUUUACUAAAAACACAGGUCCCGCAGUCGUAAGACCAUGUAUGGGCUGACGCCUGCCCAGUGCCGGAAGGUCAAGGAAGCAGACCUGAUGACAGGAGCCAUGACCGAAGCUCCCGGUGAACGGCGGGCCGUAACUAUAACGGUCCCAAGGAAGAGAAAUUCCCUUGUCGGGUAAGUUCCGGACCUGCACGAAAGGCGUAACGAUCUGGGCACCAGUCUCGGAGAGAGGCUUCAUGAAAUAGACAUAGUCAGAAGAUGCGGACUACCUGGGCACCUGGACAGAAAGACCCUAUGAAGCUUCACUGUUCCCUGAUUGGCUUUGGGCUCUUUUCCUGCGCAGCUUAGGUGGAAGGCGAAGAAGGCCUCCUUCCGGGGCCUGGAGCCAUCAGUGAGAUGCCACUCUGAAGAGUUUGAAUCUAACCUCAGUCAGGACCUACGCUGGGGGGACAGUCCCCAGGUAGAUGGGCUUCUAUGGGCGUAGGCCUCCAAAGGUAACGGAGGAGGCAAAGGUUUCUCUGGGCCGGACGGAGAUUGGCCCGAGUGCAGCGCAGAAGGGAGCUUGACUGCAAGACCCACCCGUCGAGCAGGGACGAAAGUCGGCUUUAGUGAUCCGACGGUGCCGAGUGGAAGGGCCGUCGCCCAACGGAUAAAAAGUUACUCUAGGAUAACAGGUUGAUCUUCAAGAGCCAUUAUCGACGGGAAGGUUUGCACCUAUGUCGGCUCUUCCACCUGGGGCUGUAGCAUGUUCCAAGGGUUGCUUGUUCGCCCAUUAAAGCGGCAUAGAGCUGGGUUCAGAAAACGUCGUGAGACAGUCUGGUCCAUCCCGUGGGCGUUAGAGCACUGAGAGGACCUUUCCUAGUACGAGAGGGACUGGAAGGACGCACCCUGGUGCACCAGUUAUCGUGCCCACGGUAAAACGCUGGCAGCUAAGUAAAUGCGGAGCGGAUAACUGCUGAAAGCAUCUGGCGUAGCCCACCCCAAGAUGAGAGUGCCUCCUAUUCCUGACUUCCCAGAGCCCGGUAGCACAGCCGAGGAGGACAGCAACGGGUUCUCCUGCUCUGCGGGGAUGGAGGAUGGUGAAGUUUUGAGAAUUCAAGAGAAGGUCACGGCGAGACGAGCCGUUUAUUGGCAUGAUAGGUGGCAUGAAGCAGUGGAUGUAUGCAGCUGAGGCAUCCAACAGACCGGUAGAUUUGAAC
rnacentral:rRNA from 1 species